rnacentral:rRNA from 1 species
GCCGAUCAGGCUGUUGGUGAGGUAAUGGCCCACCAGACCUGUAACCGGUACGGGCUCUGAGAGGAGGAGCCCGGAGAUGGGCACUGAGACAAGGGCCCAGGCCCUAUGGGGCGCAGCAGGCGCGAAACCUCUGCAAUAGGCGAAAGCCUGACAGGGUUACUUUGAGUGAUUUCCGUUAAGGAGAUCUUUUGGCACCUCUAAAAAUGGUGCAGAAUAAGGGGUGGGCAAGUCUGGUGUCAGCCGCCGCGGUAAUACCAGCACCCCGAGUGGUCGGGACGUUUAUUGGGCCUAAAGCAUCCGUAGCCGGUUCUGCAAGUCUUCCGUUAAAUCCACCUGCUUAACAGAUGGGCUGCGGAAGAUACUAUAGAGCUAGGAGGCGGGAGAGGCAAGCGGUACUCGAUGGGUAGGGGUAAAAUCCGUUGAUCCAUUGAAGACCACCAGUGGCGAAGGCGGCUUGCCAGAACGCGCUCGACGGUGAGGGAUGAAAGCUGGGGGAGCAAACCGGAUUAGAUACCCGGGUAGUCCCAGCUGUAAACGAUGCAGACUCGGUGAUGAAUUGGCUUUAUGCCAAUUCAGUGCCGCAGGGAAGCCGUUAAGUUUGCCGCCUGGGGAGUACGGUCGCAAGACUGAAACUUAA